rnacentral:rRNA from 1 species
AUGCCAUCUCUCAAGCAGCAAACUAGCAGCACGUACGCUGGCGGCCAGCCACCAAGCUCCCUCAUGCACGUAGCAGCGAAGCAGCAGAUGCGAGGCAGCUGCAAGCGGCAGCACAUGCACACGGCGGGAAGGCAGCAACUCACCAACCACACGCCGGCGCGCAGCGGCACCAACAACCUCGGAGGCCACGAGCCACAUGCGUCGUCGAUGGCGCCACCAAGAGCGGCGGCCAGGCUCAUCUCGCAUAGACGCGUCUUCUUGCUGAGCAGCAGCACCCGCACGCUCCGGCAAGCCAACAACGAACCGGCCAAGCUAGCACACAAGCAGUGGACAGGCUAG